rnacentral:lncRNA from 1 species
GGGUGGUCACGGGCACCGGGCGGCCGCGCGGAAAGGAGCGGCCUCCCCCGGGGCCGGGCGCGCGGAGAGCGGCGAGGAAAGCCCGGGCUGGGCUGGGCUAGGCUGGCCACCGCGCUGGCGACGGGAGCAGACGCGGGUCCCGGGAGACGCCUCCCAGCGCCCCUGUCUCUCGCUCUCGCCGUCUCCCGGUGCAGCCCGCACCCGCCUCCCUCCAAACGCUGGCGGCCCGCGCUGCAGGCGCCUCCCCUCCUGGGGGUGCUGAGGCUUGAGCGAAAUCCCACUGGACAGUAACCGGCUUCAGCGGAGCGAAAACUCAGCCGCACUCCAGCUACGCUCCAGGGCAAGCUGCGCCGGGCACCGUUUCUUCCUUGUGACGUUCAAAAGAAUGCAGAUGGGUUACCAACUACAGGAGAGGUUAAACUUGAGGGCGUGCUUUUUAAAUUCAUUAUCAACGUUUUCAUGGAAAGAACCGGCUAAGGAGUCGAUCUGUCUUCCAGUUUUAUCCCUAGACUCAAAUUAGGACAUGGGCUGGCUCUCAGUGAGCACUCAGUAAACAGCAAGUCUCCUCCUGCCCUUUGAAAAAGCGUUUCGGAUCAUCUUGGCAUUGUAAGCGAUUUUCAUCUAGUUCCAGUCCAAGUGUGACUGGCUUUACACAGGUUACUCCCCCUCCUGGACUUUCAGGUUCGUUCUUUCAGCAUCUUUUCAGGGCCCUCAAUCAUGCCAUCAUGUCAAAUGCAUUCACAAAUUUUAAAAACAAAUCGUCAAGUCAAAAACACAUAAUUGAUCUAGCCCGUCCCCAGCCCUCUAAUUCUUCAGGAUCCUGCAAACCGACUUCUGUGCCGGCUGUUCCACGGGGACUGCACUGACGAAAGUCACUUCGUGGUUUUGAAAAUCCCCUAAACCAUUGUAUAUUUUCCAAUGCCCGUCUUACUUGACCUAUUUGCAGCGUUUGCACUGUUGAUCAGAUAUUUAUUUAUUUUCAGACAGGAUCUCGCUCUGUCGCCCAAGCUGGAGUGCAGUGGCGCGAUCAUGGCUCCCUGUAUCCUCGACCUCCUGGGCUAAAGCGAUCCUCUCGCCUCAGCCUCUCCAGCACUGGGACUACAGGCGGGCGCCACAAAGCUCAACUAAUUGUUUUAUUGUUAGUAGAGACGAGGGGGGACUCACUACGUUACCCAAGCUGGCCUCAAGCGAUCCUUUGGUCUGGGCCUCCCAAAACGCUGGGAUUACAGGAGUGAGCCAAUGCGCCUGGCCCCGAUUUUUAUUCUUGAAACCAUCCCUUCCAUUGGCUCUGUGACACCUCGGUCUCCGUGUUUCCUAACCUUUUCUUGCUCAGCCACCUCUUGCAUGUUGGAGCAUCUAAAUGGUCUUGCCCUUAGUCUGUCUCUAAUGCUGCCUAGGCACAUGGCUUCAAUUACCAACCAUGUGCUGAUAACUCAUAAAUUUCCAUUUCUGUCCCACAUCUCCAGUUCUAUAAAACGAACUUUUUACCAGAAAUCUCUACCCAGAUGUCCCAUCGGCCUUAAACUCAACUUGACUAAAACAGAACUCAACUUUCCUGCCAGCUGGCUUUUCUCUCUAGUCUCAUUCUCAGUAAAUGUCACCACAAUCCACUUAGUCACCCAAAGGAGAAAUCUGGAAAUUAUCCCAGGCUUUUCCUUCUCUCAUCUGCUGUCUGCCCAUCCAUGCACCUAUCAUUUCUGUCUAUCACCUUCCCUCCAUUCCACUGCUUUUUGCCUAGUUUCAGGUCUCUUGUUUCAAGACCCUGAAACACUAUAUUACUCUCCUUAUUAGUCUCACUGCCUCUAAGUUUGUUGCACCUCCACCCUUGCCAUCUCACGUUGUGACCGAAGUAAGCCUUCUAAAAUACAAAUUUUUGACCAAGUCAUUCCCCACAUCAGCCCUGCCAAUGGCUCCCCAUAGCCUGCAGGGUAAAGUCCCGAUAUCUUAGCCAGGGCCUAAGUCUCCACUCUCUUUAAACAGUGAGUUUCUUGCACCACCAUUCCCUGUUGGGCCACUUACUUUUAUGCUGUGCCCUCACAUGGAGUGUCCUUUCUCUUACACAGCCUAAGUUUACCUGCUCUUUCAAGAUUCACCCUAAGAGUCACAUUCCUUAUGAAAUCAUUUCUGACCCUGCUGCAGGUUAGAACUGAUUUCACUGAGCUUUCUCUACACUAAAUGCCUCUCUCCCCCAAUUAUAAUGCUUUAGAAGACUUUAUUAAACUCAGUUUUUAUUUAUAGUCUUCCUGAUGGCAAGUAUUAUGACAGACUUACUUUCGUCUUCUUAGUUCCCAGUACAGUUCCUGACAUUAGUAGGUGCUCAGUGUUUGUGGAAUGAAUUAAUUAUGUGAUGUACCUUGAGUUAUUAUAUUUUUGUGGCUUAUAGAAAAUCGUUUUCCCAUGCGUUAUCUCAUUUCACUCUUGACAGUUCUGCAAAAGAUAUAUCAUUAUCACCUUUUAUAGAAAUGGAAACUGAAGCUACAAAGGAAUAAAGCAAUCUGCCCAAGGUUCUACUGUAUAUACUUCAGAGCCAGGACUUGAACUCAGUUUGCCCAGUUCAGUUCAUUAUAUGUUUGCCUGUUUCUAUGGUCUGAAUGUUUAUGUCUCCCCAAAAUUCAUAUGUUGAAAUCCUCAUUCCCAGGGUGAUGGUAUUAGGAAGUAGGAAUUUUGGAAGACUAUUUGGUCAUGAGGGUUGAGCCCUCAUAAAUGGGAUUAGUGCCCUUAUAAAAGAGGUCCAGAAAGAGACUUCUGACUCCUUCUGCCAUGUGAGGUUAAAGUGAGCAGAUGGCUAACUAUGAGGAAACGGGCCCUCGCCAGACAACACAUCUGCAUCUUGCACUUCCCAGCCUCCAGAGCUGUAAGAAAUACAUUUCUGUUAUUAGCCACCCAGGCUAUGGUAUGUUGUUAGAGCAGCCGAAACAGACUAUGACAGCUAUCCAUUAUUUUUCCCCUUAAAUUCUGUUUAGUAUGAUUCUAUUUUGUAGAUUUUUGUUAGUGGUUGCCAAGAAUCUCUCCAUCUUUUUAUUUUAAACCAGUCUGAGUCAUUAUGUUUUAAGUGUGUCUUGUAAAUAACACUUGAAUUUUUAUAUUAUUGACCCGUUCUGAGAGUCUGCCUUUUAGUAGUCUAUUUUCAUCUGUUUUCAUUUAUCAUGUCUAUUAAUUAGAAUAAAAAGUUGUCAUAAGAAAGAUCCUUCCCCCUGCCUCACCAGACACACAGUGUUGCUUUCUCUCAUGGAACAGUGCCAGGAUUAGUGGUCAGUUUGUUGGGGGUGGCUUCUUUGUUCCACAUUGCCGUUCCAAUUUCUAGAGCAUUGCCCUUAUCUACAGGGUGAAAGCUGAUUAGGGAGACCCUGUUUAAGGAAGGAAGAAGAGAGCAUAAAGGAGCACAAACCCAACUGCUUAAGGCCCAGACCCAGAAGUGAGUGGUGACCCACUUCUCACCUGCUCAUAUCCCAAUGGCCAGAACUUAGUUUCAUGACCGUAGCUAGCAGCAAAGGAGCAGGAAAAUGAGGUCACUAGCUGGACAGCUGUAUCCCAACCGCAAUUCUAUUACUACCGAAGACUUAACAGAUUUUGCUGAAAACUAGCACUCUCUGUUAAAUUAUGAUGACUAUCUUUGGAUUUAUUACCACAUUCUCAUUUUGUAUUUAUUUCACUUUCUUUUUCUUUGCUUCUUUUUUCUCCUUUCUUGCCUGCUGUUUUAUUAAUUGAAUUGAUUGAAUUUUCUUUAGUUUACUCACUUUUCUAAACACUUCUACUGAUUUAAAAUGUAUACCUCCUGUUUCAAUUCUUAGUGAUUACCCUUAAAAUGUUAACAUUUAUACUUAAUAUCAAAGGUUAGUUAAUAUCUCCCCCUUCUUUUCAAGAUCUUAAACAAAAGAAAACAUUUUAACUCUCAAAUUCCCCUCCUAUAAACUAUGUAUUACUGUCUAGUAUUUUUAAAUUCCCUCUUAUUUUAAAUUCUCUACUGAUUAGUCAUCAUUGUUACUGCUUUUAUAGUUAUUAUCUAAUUCAAUUUACCAACAUAUUUUACCAAUGUUUUCUCUUAUUGCUUGUUUUUUUAUCUCAUGCUUUCCUUUUGGGCUUAAUUUCUGUCUUGAGGAAGCACAUUCUUUAGGAGUUCUUUCACCAAAGGUCUGUGGGUAAAAUUUUCUACAACUUUGUAUAUCACUCUCACUCCAUUUCCCUUAUGCUUUUGAGUAAUAAUUUUAUCAGCUAGGGAAUUCUAAAUUGACAUCAUUGACACUAACAUUUCAAAGUGACUAUUCCAUUAUCUUUUGUCAUCUGCUGCUGUUGAUUAGAAGUCUGCAGUCAGUCUCAUUAUCACUUACAGAUUUUUUUUUCUCUCUAGUUAACAUUUUCUUUUAUCACUUGAUAUUUGCAUUAUUGCACUGUUUCAAGGUGGGUUUUGUUUUUGUAUAUCUUGUUCAGGACUUGGUGUGCAUUUUAACCUGAAGACCCCAAAAUCCUUCAAUUCUGGAAAUUUUUCAGCCCUUAUGUAUUCAAAUAUUACUUACCCCACCCCCUACUCCAUGCAUUUUCCUCUGUUUUAUCCUUCUAGAGCUCCUAUUAGCUAUGGGCUGGAGUUUCUCAUUUUAUCCUCCAUGUCUUAAUUUUUCUUUAGAAUUUUCCAUCUUUUUACUUCUCUUUGCUAGUCUUGGGUAAUUUCCUCAAAUUUAUUAUCUGAUUCCCUAAUUCUCUUUGCAAUUAUAUUCAGUCUAUAAUAUGUCCAUUAACUUUUUAUUUACAUUUCUAGAAUGUUCAUUAUUUUUCAAAUUUACAUUCUUUUUUCAUAAUAUCUAACUUUCUCUUAGAGUCUAGUCUUUCUUUGUCUUUUUAAACAUUUUAAACACAUUUAUUUAGAAGUGGGUUUCAAGUUGAUCUAUUAUCUAGAGUUGCUGGUGUGUAAAUUCUCGCAUUUGUUGCCUUUGCUGACUCAUAUUUGCAGUGGCUUGUUUCCUUGCAAGCUUUAUGUUUUCUGUGAGCUUCUCUUCAGUAGGACUUGUUCUCCGUGGAAGUAAUGCAUGCCUUAUGGAGCCACCUAUCUAGAGGGGUCUUACUUUUGACUCUGCCAGGAAUCUAUAGGUUUACUUGGCUCACUCAUAUUCUGGCAGCUGAUGCUGGAAGACUCAAAACAGCUGAGGGC